rnacentral:rRNA from 1 species
CGAAAGCCUGACGGAGCAAGACCGCGUGAGGGAGGAAGGCUCUUGGGUUGUAAACCUCUUUUCUCAGGGAAGAAGCUCUGACGGUACCUGAGGAAUCAGCAUCGGCUAACUCCGUGCCAGCAGCCGCGGUAAUACGGAGGAUGCAAGCGUUAUCCGGAAUGAUUGGGCGUAAAGCGUCCGCAGGUGGCUCGCUAAAGUCUGCUGUCAAAGACCGGGGCUUAACUCCGGAAAGGCAGUGGAAACUGACAAGCUAGAGGGCUCUAGGGGUAGAGGGAAUUCCCGGUGUAGCGGUGAAAUGCGUAGAGAUCGGGAAGAACAUCGGUGGCGAAAGCGCUCUACUGGAGAGCAACUGACACUCAGGGACUAAAGCUAGGGGAGCG